CCUACGGGAGGCAGCAGUGGAGAAUAUUGCACAAUGGGGGAAACCCUGAUGCAGCCAUGCCGCGUGUGUGAAGAAGGCCUUCGGGUUGUAAAGCACUUUCAGUGGUGAGGAAGGACGUAAGAUUAAUACUCUUGCAUAUUGACGUUAGCCACAGAAGAAGCACCGGCUAACUCCGUGCCAGCAGCCGCGGUAAU
rnacentral:rRNA from 1 species